GACGAACGCUGGCGGCGUGCCUAAUACAUGCAAGUCGAACGCACAGUUUAUACCGUAGCUUGCUACACCAUAGACUGUGAGUUGCGAACGGGUGAGUAACGCGUAGGUAACCUGCCUGGUAGCGGGGGAUAACUAUUGGAAACGAUAGCUAAUACCGCAUAAUAUUAAUUAUUGCAUGAUAAUUAAUUGAAAGGUGCAAUUGCACCACUACCAGAUGGACCUGCGUUGUAUUAGCUAGUAGGUGAGGUAACGGCUCACCUAGGCGACGAUACAUAGCCGACCUGAGAGGGUGAUCGGCCACACUGGGACUGAGACACGGCCCAGACUCCUACGGGAGGCAGCAGUAGGGAAUCUUCGGCAAUGGACGAAAGUCUGACCGAGCAACGCCGCGUGAGUGAAGAAGGUUUUCGGAUCGUAAAGCUCUGUUGUAAGAGAAGAACGGGUGUGAGAGUGGAAAGUUCACACUGUGACGGUAUCUGACCAGAAAGGGACGGCUAACUACGUG
rnacentral:rRNA from 1 species